rnacentral:rRNA from 1 species
AUUGAACGCUGGCGGCAUGCCUUACACAUGCAAGUCGAACGGUAACGGGCCUUCGGGUGCCGACGAGUGGCGAACGGGUGAGUAAUACAUCGGAACGUGCCCGAUCGUGGGGGAUAACGAGGCGAAAGCUUUGCUAAUACCGCAUACGAUCUACGGAUGAAAGCAGGGGACCGCAAGGCCUUGCGCGGACGGAGCGGCCGAUGGCAGAUUAGGUAGUUGGUGGGAUAAAAGCUUACCAAGCCGACGAUCUGUAGCUGGUCUGAGAGGAUGAUCAGCCACACGGGACCUGAGCACCGGCCCCGCCCCUUAGGGGAGGCAGCGGGGGGGAAUUUUGGAAAAGGGGGGAAACCCUGAUCCAGCACGGCCGCGGGAAGGAUGAAGGCUUUCGGGUGGAAAACUUCUUUUUGACGGAAAGAAAAGCCUUUUUUUAAAACGGGAGGGCCAUGACGGUACCGAAAGAAAAAGCACCGGCUAAUUACGU